AUGGCUUCAACCAUGCUCUCCUUGGCAUCUUCCCUAUCAUUCCAUGACACUCACAAGGGGAAGAUCAAGCUUGGUAUUCGUUCUCUGUUGUUUUCUUGGCUGUAGUCAGCUGGUCGGGUUUCUAUGGUUGCUGCUGUCAAGACUUCUCGAUUCGACGGUGUAACCAUGGCCCCACCUGAUCCUAUUCUUGGAGUUUCUGAAGCAUUCAAAGCUAGCACCAAUCUGAUGAAGCUCAACCUUGGAGUUGGGGCAUACCGCACCGAAGAACUCCAGCCAUAUGUCCUUAAUGUUGUCAAGAAGGCAGAGAAUCUUAUGCUUGAAAGGGGGGAAAACAAAGAGUACCUCCCUAUUGAAGGUUUGGCAGCAUUUAACAAAGCAACUGCAGAGUUAUUAUUUGGAGCAGACAACCCAGUAAUAAAGGAGCAAAAGGUCGCAACUGUUCAAGGUCUAUCAGGGACUGGUUCUCUUCGUCUUGCUGCGGCUUUUAUUGAACGAUAUUUUCCUGGGGCCAAAGCUCUAAUAUCAUCUCCGACCUGGGGUAAUCACAAGAAUAUUUUUAAUGAUGCUGGAGUUCCGUGGUCUGAGUACCGAUAUUAUGAUCCAAAAACAGUUGGUUUGGACUUUGAGGGGAUGAUAGCAGACAUAAAGGCAGCACCUGAAGGAUCUUUUAUAUUGCUUCACGGGUGUGCUCACAACCCUACUGGCAUAGAUCCCACUCCUGAACAGUGGGAAAAAAUUGCUGAUGUCAUUCAAGAAAAAAACCAUAUUCCCUUUUUUGAUGUUGCAUACCAGGGGUUUGCUAGUGGAAGCUUGGAUGCUGAUGCUGCAUCUGUCAGAUUGUUUGUCGCGCGUGGUAUGGAGCUCCUGGUUGCUCAGUCAUACAGUAAAAACCUUGGUCUCUAUGCUGAAAGAAUUGGAGCAAUUAAUGUUGUCUUAACCUCAUCUGAUACAGCAGCAAGGGUAAAGAGCCAGCUGAAGAGGCUUGCUCGACCUAUGUACUCAAAUCCUCCUAUUCAUGGGGCUAAGAUUGUGGCCAAUAUUGUCGGGGAUCCUACACUUUUUGGUGAGUGGAAAGCAGAGAUGGAAAUGAUGGCUGGAAGAAUAAAGAAUGUGAGACAGAAACUAUACGAUAGCCUGUGCGCAAAAGAUAAGAGUGGAAAGGAUUGGUCAUUCAUACUUAAGCAGAUUGGCAUGUUUUCAUUCACAGGCUUGAACACUACUCAGACCGAGAAUAUGACGAAGAAGUGGCAUGUAUUCAUGACGAAGGAUGGAAGAAUAUCCCUGGCUGGAUUGAAUUUGGCGAAAUGUGAAUACCUUUCAGAUGCCAUCAUCGAUUCAUACCACAAUGUUAGUUGAAGUACACUGGCUAGCUGGCACACAAGUUUGAAGCAGACGCUUAGGAAUUUUUGGCCCCUUAAAUUGAAACAGUUACUAUUAAACUUUGUUGCGAUCUUACGUGUUUGUAAGAUCUUACAUGUUUGUAGAGAGGCAACUCCCGAGACACAGCGUGUAAUAAUAAUGUUCUCAUGGGAUUCAUACGGUGCAGGAUAAUCAAACAUAACAAUUUCUGUAAUAAAACAACAUAUUUGUGCACAAGUUUCAGUUUGUUUAUAUACUUUUAAUAGACAAGCUAUGGUACUGGGA